UCUUGACUGAAGAUGGGGGGACCAUCCUCCAAGGCUAAAUACUCCUAACUGACCGAUAGUGAACCAGUACCGUGAGGGAAAGGCGAAAAGAACCCCUGUGAGGGGAGUGAAAUAGAACCUGAAACCGUAUACGUACAAGCAGUAGGAGCAGACUUGUUCUGUGACUGCGUACCUUUUGUAUAAUGGGUCAGCGACUUAU
rnacentral:rRNA from 1 species